UUUUAUCAUUUUAGAUCAAGAAAUACAAAAUCCAGACCUAGACCGGGGGAAGGCCAAACAAGUAGAUUAAAUCCAAUUAGUCGUCACUUUUUGUAUACUGAGUGCCAUCAAGCAAAUAUCGUGGAUCCAGGGACGUCGGAGGCAUCAAUCACACUAUCACCUGAAGCUUUUGGUAUAGCUAGUUUAAAUGUUUGAUUGUGGCAUGUAUAGGGACUUGAAUCUUUUGUCUAGGGUCUUGUUAGUUUAGCCACAAGUGUUGGCUCAUAUGAUGGAUGUGAUAUUCAUUUUGUAUAGGCUAUUAAUGUUGGAUAAUAUUGAUUACUAUUAAAUGUAUGGAUGCAAAUUUCUCA